CCUUUUUUGUAUUUUUCUUUUUUCGUUUUGUUAUAUUUUUUUCUUUUUUUGUAAAUAUUUAUACUUUGUUUAUAUUUUCCUAAUUUUGUAAAUACUCGUAAAUUGGUAAAUAAUUAUGCUUUAACCCUAGUUUAAAUGUAAAUAACCUAAUAUGUAAAUAUAAUCCUUUUUCCUCUAUCCUUCGAUACCAGUUACCCAUAAUUAAAUGAGUUAAAUAGAAAAAUGUAAUGAAUUUGUAAAUAAAAAAAUAAAUUAAAUUUGAAUUUGAAAUCCUUCCAAAUAAACCCCUGGUAUCCCACCAUCAAAAUCCUUCCCAACCAUAUAUGCACUGAUGCAUCAUGGCGCCCACUACCAACUGUGCGAAGACAAAUCCCUCCCGGGAAAUGUUCUACGAUUUGGUUUUGCUGCAUCAUCAAGUCCUAUAAAAAGGAUAUGCAGGCCCAGGAAAUGAUCUUUUUCGGUACAAAAUUUUAAGUGAAUCGCGAGUGGAAGACAUCUGUACCCCACCGCAGCUCAAAAUCGGAAGUGAUAGUGUCAAGUGCCCUACUAGUGAUCCUGGUGAACUACUUGGGACGACCGAACCGGACGAAGCUUUUUUGAAGAUAUCCCAGAGACGUGAAGCGCCCACCACGACCACCAACGGCCGGACAUUUGGUAUAGCCGUCGGCAAGGAAACCAGAUCACUCGCCGCCCACCGAUCGAGCCGAAAAUCCCUCCACAAACGAUUAACCGCAGGUGACGUUUCAAAGUGCAUUCCUUCAAUAAUUUCCUAAAUCCUAAUCCUAAAUUAAUAAAUUAUAUGUAAAU